GUCCCUCUUGUUUGCAAUUAAGAGAGAGAAAUAAUGAAGACAUCUGAGUAUUGUUUUUAUCUGAGCAAUUGUAGUCAUACUGUGCAUAAGAAGUAUUUGACCAACAGUUAUCUCAUUGGACAUAAUUAUUGAGUUCAACCUUGGUGGGACUAAACCAGUUUCCUGUUUGGAAAUAAAAAGUUGUUUCUUCCUGGAGGUAUGCAGAAUAUAGAUAAAGUCUGCAGAACAUAUGGCCUUCCAGAUUUUGGACACCAACUCCUAGCAACCUUGAUCAUG